GCGCCGGCUAACUCGGUGCCAGCAGCCGCGGUAAUACGGAGGGUGCAAGCGUUGUCCGGAUUUAUUGGGUUUAAAGGGUACGUAGGUGGCCUAUUAAGUCAGUGGUGAAAUUUUGCAGCUUAACUGUAAAACUGCCAUUGAUACUGGUAGGCUUGAGUAUUGUUGAGGCAGGCGGAAUUUAUGGUGUAGCGGUGAAAUGCAUAGAUACCAUAAAGAACACCGAUAGCGAAGGCAGCUUGCUAAGCAGUAACUGACACUAAUGUACGAAAGCGUGGGUAGCGAACAGGAUUAGAUACCCUGGUAGUCCACGCCGUAAACGAUGCUCACUCGAUGUAUGCGAUAUACUGUAUGCGUCCAAGCGAAAGCGUUAAGUGAGCCACC
rnacentral:rRNA from 1 species